AAAUAUUAAUUUAUUUUUUUUAAAAGUAAAUAUAAAAAGUGACAUACGUUCAAUGUUAUUGUUUAAUUGGACGAGGUAUGAUAUCCAACUAAAUCCAAAGUUAUCGAAGUGUUCACCGUAAAAAUUAUCGAACCUGCGUUUGAUUAGGGUUUACACUUCGGAACUCUGAAUUCUGAGCGGCAUGGGAAAGAAGGAGAAGUCGAAAGCCAAUGCAAGAGAGCACGACAAUGUCGGCGAAGCAACGACAAUCUCGACGGCGCUUCCACGCCAUCACUCGUGUUCAGUAGCGAUGAUGAUG
rnacentral:lncRNA from 1 species